rnacentral:rRNA from 1 species
AUUGAACGCUGGCGGCAUGCUUUACACAUGCAAGUCGAACGGUAACAGGCCUUCGGGUGCUGACGAGUGGCGAACGGGUGAGUAAUGCAUCGGAACGUACCCAGAGGUGGGGGAUAACGCAGCGAAAGCUGUGCUAAUACCGCAUGUGAUCUGAGGAUGAAAGCGGGGGACCGAGCAGCAAUGUUUGGCCUCGCGCCUUUGGAGCGGCCGAUGUCGGAUUAGCUAGUUGGUGGGGUAAAGGCCUACCAAGGCGACGAUCCGUAGCUGGUCUGAGAGGACGACCAGCCACACUGGGACUGAGACACGGCCCAGACUCCUACGGGAGGCAGCAGUGGGGAAUUUUGGACAAUGGGCGCAAGCCUGAUCCAGCAAUGCCGCGUGCGGGAAGAAGGCCUUCGGGUUGUAAACCGCUUUUGGCAGGAACGAAACGGUGUCCGCUAAUACCGGGCGCUAAUGACGGUACCUGCAGAAUAAACACCGGCUAACUACGU